rnacentral:lncRNA from 12 species
ACACUGCAAUAUAACUGACCUAAAAACUGUCAUCAAUUAAACAUCGUCAGUAUUAAUUAACCCAAAUUGAUUUAGUUCACUUCAUAGCUGAAUAAAUAUUGUUUAUCCACCUAGAUGUUCCAGAAUCCUCCACAGCUCCACCAAGUGGCCACUCCACCCCAAAACCACCCUCUUAUCUGCCAUUGGAGGAGCUUGCUCUCAGAGCUAAUCAUGACGUCCAACACGUGGAGGUGGAGCUAGUGACUCCGCCCCCUGCAGCCCCAGGCACCUCCCCCAAAACAGGCAUAAUUCGGCGAACUUUGAAAUACUCAGAGACUGAUCUGGACGCCGUUCCGUUACGAUGUUAUCGGGAGACAGACAUAGACGAUGUGCUGUUAGCAGAGCAAGAGGACGCUGACUCAGCCUUCGGAAGUAACCGAAGUGUCAUGGGAACUUCCUGUGCUGGGAGCAGCCCGCUAGGAGAGAUGCCGAAUGAAAGAAAAGAUGGACAGGAGGAGGAGGAGGAUGUUGCGAGCUGGGUCACUGUCAGGAUGCAGGGCGAUGUGAGGAGGCUGUUGGCCGAUCAGGAGCAAGAAGAAGAGGAGUUUUACAGCAUGAUGCUAAAGAGGCCCCAAAAUCGUUUCAUUAAGGAGCACCCAGCUCUAAAAUCUCCCAUCCUGGUCCGUGGUCCUCGCAGAAGGUCCGGAGACAGUUUGGACACGUUCAGCCGGCAUUUUGAGAACAUCAUGGAGUCACACCGUGCCAAGGGCACCUCCUACAGCAGUCUGGACAGCCUCGACCCUCUGACCUCUAGCACUCAAACUGUCCUGACCUUUGACCUCCCCACACUGACUCCACAGGUGCAGGGUCAGAUCUACCAGAGUGCCCGGCAAAUCGUGGAGCUCAGCUUCGCUCCAUUGGCACACAUAGAGAUACCCAGCCUUUCAGGGUCGGCGCUGACGAUAACAGGGGACACGGAUGCCACACGGGCGCCAUCCAGCGAACGUCUCAGCAGCGGGUCCGACGAUCGCAACAGCCAGAGCUGGCAGAGCAACCCACCACUUUCACUGCCCAGGUUUGUGUCAUUUUCAUCACUGAAGUGAGCAAUUGUAUGUUUUGGGUAGGAGAACUUAAUAAUGUGCUCUGGUUGUAGAAGGUUAUCUGUGUAGUGUGGAAGAAUGCCAUUCUGAGGCUUGUCCAAAUACUCACACUUGCAGUCUUGGCCACUUGGGAGCACGUGCAUGCAACAGAAAGCAAGUGCACAAGACUGUCCCAAGACUUAAAAGGUGUAUCCCAUCAUGCAUCAUGUUCUGGAAAUAACCUGUGAGACUUUUUUGCCAAGAUCCCACGAGAGAUUGUGCAAACCUAACCAGUGUAAGUUUAAUGUUGAUUAUAAUUAGAUAUUUCAUAUAAAU